rnacentral:rRNA from 1 species
UACGAAGGGGGCUAGCGUUGCUCGGAAUUACUGGGCGUAAAGGGCGCGUAGGCGGGUCGUUAAGUUGGGGGUGAAAGCCCAGGGCUCAACCCUGGAAUUGCCUUCAAUACUGGCGACCUUGAGUAUGGCAGAGGUGUGUGGAACUCCGAGUGUAGAGGUGAAAUUCGUAGAUAUUCGGAGGAACACCAGAGGCGAAGGCGGCUACCUGGACAAUUGCUGACGCUCAGGCACGAAAGCGUGGGGAGCAAAAGGG